GCCUCUCUAAGGUGUUUUUAAAAACAAACAGAAAGGCAAGUAAUGUAAAAUUUUGUUGACUAUUAAAAUCUGCUUUGUGUUUUCAUAAUAAAUGCCCUGUGCCCACUUCUUGGAUUUGUUAAAGUACAAACAGGUAUAUGAUAAUGGGUAUAGGAAGAAUACAUAGCUUGAAAUAUGAUACUGAUGCUGCUUCUGCCUGUAUAUACUAAAUACAAAGGAACACCUGUAGACACAGCACACAUUUUGACAAAACAGAAUUCAUAAUAAAAAACACUAUACAAUUAUACACUGACCUUUCCUUGUUCCAGAGAUCAAAGAAUAAUGAGUGUAGACAUUGACCUGUAUACAAGAGAUCAGUUUAAGCUGACCAGCCACCUCCCUACUCAGAGAAGCAGCUAGCAUAUAACCCUAAUUACCAACAGUGAUAUUCUUCAGCAGCAAGAGACAACAUGAUCUGUGUGUUCCAAACUGUUCUCUACAAUUAUUCUUUGUAUCUGUGUUGUAUUGCAGACUGAAUAUUAGAUGUGUAAUCUCCAUGUCAAGUGUACUGUUUGCUGUUAGCUCCUAUAGCAAUAUGACUGUCAGUAAUUAGAUUUUUUGAUAUUUAGAAUGAAUUACUUUUAUUAAUGAGAGUCCUAAUAUCAAAUUUACAGUAAAAAUCUCUGUGAUUGUAUAAAGCUUUAGCAUUAGAAAAUAAGGGGAAUAUUUUAUUGCUUUUACUUAGGAUCAGACAAAAAAAAUUGGGACUUUUUUUUAACAUACUGCAAGCAGAUUGACACUAAAGGGAAGAAUAGGCUGGAGGUAGUACUAU